rnacentral:rRNA from 1 species
CCUACGGAAGGCAGCAGUGGGGCAUAUUGCACAAUGGGGGAAACCCUGAUGCAGCGACGCCGCGUGAGUGAAGAAGUAAUUCGUUAUGUAAAGCUCUAUCAGCAGGGAAGAAAAUGACGGUACCUGAGUAAGAAGCCCCGGCUAACUACGUGCCAGCAGCCGCGGUAAUACGUAGGGGGCAAGCGUGAUCCGGAUUUACUGGGGGUAAAGGGAGCGUAGACGGCAGUGCAAGUCUGGAGUGAAAGGCGGGGGCCCAACCCCCGGACUGCUCUUGAAACUGUACGGCUGGAGUGCAGGAGAGGUAAGUGGAAUUCCUUGUGUAGCGGUGAAAUGCGGAGAUAUUAGGAGGAACACCAGUGGCGAAGGCAGCUUACCGGACUGUAACUGACGGUGAAGCUCGAAAGCGUGGGGAGCGAACAGGAUUAGAUACCCUUGUAGUC